rnacentral:rRNA from 1 species
UACGAAGGGGGCUAGCGUUGCUCGGAAUCACUGGGCGUAAAGCGCACGUAGGCGGAUUGCUAAGUCAGGGGUGAAAUCCUGGAGCUCAACUCCAGAACUGCCUUUGAUACUGGCGAUCUUGAGUCCGGGAGAGGUGAGUGGAACUGCGAGUGUAGAGGUGAAAUUCGUAGAUAUUCGGAAGAACACCAGUGGCGAAGGCGGCUCACUGGCCCGGUACUGACGCUGAGAUACGAAAGCGUGGGGAGCAAACAGG